AUGAAGCCUCGCUGACCCAAAACAGACCAAUAUGUGGUAGUCGAGGGUUGAGGAGUGUAACCGGUAGCUUGAUGUUUGCAGGACAAGGAAGUGGAAACUGUGGUGGUCCCAAGACACUGAGUUCUAGUGUACGAUUUAGUUUCUCUACACCUGUUACACAUCACUUUCAAGCAUGAUUACAGUGGGUCAGGCUCCGGUUCAUCCACCCAUCAUGAUGGUCCAGCAACCGCAGCCGCCGCCGCCCCCGCCGCAGCAACAGACCAUAAUAAUGGGCGGGGCCCCAGCAGCUGAAGCAACAGGAGACUGCCCGAUCUGUAAGAAAGGCAUGAUGUCGAUCUACAUAAACCCCUGCGCUGUGAUCUACGUUAUCAUCCUGACCUUGUGUACGCUCGUCGGCGCCCUCUGUAUAUUGUUUUUCCUGAAGAGGCGAUGCUCAGCGUGCCAUUAUUCUCGAUCCAUCGUCUGUUAGGAGCCCAUGAGAUUCUUUUACAUUUCGUAUGCAAGGUAGAUUAUCACUCGUUUAAAUAAUGUUACAAAAACAAUUUUUCGGUCAAAUUGAUUAGUUAUAUUUCAUACUGUUGAACCAGAAAUUCAUCUAUAUAUAGGCUUUUCUAAAAGUGAAAAAACAAUGAUAUAUGUAUUUUGAGCGAAAAUAUAUUACGAGCACAAUUAUUUAUCCUUUCUCAAGGUACCUUGGUAUCGUGUGUGUGUGUGUGUGUGUGUGUGUGUGUGCUUAUGUUUGUUUGUGUGCGUGCGCGUUGUGUGUGAGCGUCAAGUGCAUGCCGUAUUCUAUCCCCACCAGACGCGUACAACCUGUUGAUGUUUACGGUGUUAAGGUGGAAUAGUGUUAUCACCAAACGCAGCACAAUAAAGGGAAAUCAUAUUGAGCACCCUCAUCCCGAAAAAAAAAAAAAAAAAAUUGGAAGAACACAGUUUAGUAGAAAUUGUUUAGUAGGAGAAUUAAUAAAAGUCGUUUGACUGAUUGAGUGCAGCAGACGGUGAAUUUUUAAGUUUCAUUUCAAUAAUUACAUACAAAUUGACGCAACCUUUUGGCUCACAAUUCUACAUUUCAUUAUGUAAAAACAAGGAAUGACCAUACGAAGCACCGGGAACAACAGAAGUGUCGAACCCAAAACAGCACGACAGAGAAGCUUCUGAAGCUUUCUCUGAACAGACUGAGACUGGGACUGGGACUGGGACUGGGACUGACUAACUUCUCAACCACUCCUGAUUUGUAGCGGGAGGGCCAACCUUUGUAGAGCAGUCAUAGUGUUCUGAAGUGUUUCACUCUGAUUCGAAAUUCUCAUUGACAGCAUUCCUCUAUAGAAAAUGGAAAACGGAGAGAGAAAGAAUUGUGGUUUGGACAGCACGGGUAGUCCACGGGUCACAUUCCUUGCCCAGUCUCCGUGAAGACAGUGUCGUACGUCCAGUGUGCUGCAUCCUCUGCUGGAUUGUGUAGUAACUUAGUGUGUCUUUAAAGUAUUUCGUGGGACAAUGAUUACAAUAGGACAACCAGCUCCACCCUCCACCACUGUCAUAGUGCAAGCUGCGGCGCCUCCUCUCAAACGCAAACAGCCAAGGGGAAACUGCCCACGCUGUAAGAAAGCGGACUUGGAGAAAAGGAAUCCUCCCCCAUUGUUUAUCCUCAUCCUGUGUAUGACCUGCGUCGGUAUCCUGUGUAUCCCGCUCUUGAUGACAAAGGAGUGCCCGAAGUGUAAGCAUGUAGAAUGAACGUGCUUCUAAUAAGUAGUGUUGCCUAAAAAUGUUGUAUAUAUUUUUUAUCGAUAAUUAAAAUGAUUUAAGAAUGAACUUGUAUCAUAGUUUAAGUAUUCGAUUGUCGUAAUUUUAAUGGCGAAUUGGAUUAGUGUCCCGAAUGUUACUUGUGAGUGAUGUUUUUGAUCUCUUAUUUAACUCUUGGUUGAUGCUUUUAAGUUAACUAAAUUUUUACAUUAGUUAAUUUGUAGUUGGUUGCUGAUUUUAUAAGUAGUUUUAGAUAGAAUGUUAGAUUAGAUAGAAUAGUUCUUACUUUGAUUGGUUCUCAAAUGUUACUGGUUCCUUAUUUUGUCAUGAACACAUGAAGAUUGUUUUAAUUAAAUAUGAAUUAUAUCCUUUGAAAA